AGAGUUUGAUCAUGGCUCAGGAUGAACGCUAGCGGCAGGCUUAAUACAUGCAAGUCGAGGGGCAUCAGCUUAUAGCAAUAUAGGGCUGGCGACCGGCGAACGGGUGCGGAACACGUACACAACCUUCCUUUAAGAGGGGGAUAGCCCAUAGAAAUGUGGAUUAAUACCCCGUAAGAUAGUGGGAUGGCAUCAUACUACUAUUAUAGUUACGACGCUUGAAGAUGGGUGUGCGUCUGAUUAGGUAGUUGGCGGGGUAAAGGCCCACCAAGCCUUCGAUCAGUAGCUGAUGUGAGAGCAUGAUCAGCCACACGGGCACUGAGACACGGGCCCGACUCCUACGGGAGGCAGCAGUAAGGAAUAUUGGUCAAUGGACGCAAGUCUGAACCAGCCAUGCCGCGUGAAGGAUGAAGGUCCUCUGGAUUGUAAACUUCUUUUAUAGGGGGCGAAAAAAGGGAAAUCUUUCUCACUUGACAGUACCCUAUGAAUAAGCGCCGGCUAACUCCGUGCCAGCAGCCGCGGUAAUACGGAGGGUGCAAGCGUUAUCCGGAUUCACUGGGUUUAAAGGGUGCGUAGGCGGGCGUAUAAGUCAGUGGUGAAAUCCUGGAGCUUAACUCCAGAACUGCCAUUGAUACUAUAUGUCUUGAAUAUGGUGGAGGUAAGCGGAAUAUGUCAUGUAGCGGUGAAAUGCAUAGAUAUGACAUAGAACACCUAUUGCGAAGGCAGCUUACUACGCCUAUAUUGACGCUGAGGCACGAAAGCGUGGGGAUCAAACAGGAUUAGAUACCCUGGUAGUCCACGCCCUAAACGAUGAUUACUCGACGUGUGCGAUAAACGGUACGCGUCUGAGCGAAAGCAUUAAGUAAUCCACCUGGGAAGUACGACCGCAAGGUUG
rnacentral:rRNA from 1 species